rnacentral:rRNA from 1 species
AUUGAACGCUGGCGGCAUGCUUUACACAUGCCAGUCGAACGGCAGCGCGGGCUUCGGCCUGGCGGCGAGUGGCGAACGGGUGAGUAAUGCAUCGGAACGUGCCCAGUAGUGGGGGAUAGCCCGGCGAAAGCCGGAUUAAUACCGCAUACGACCUGAGGGUGAAAGCGGGGGGCCGAAAGGCCUCGCGCUAUUGGAGCGGCCGAUGUCGGAUUAGCUAGUUGGUGGGGUAAAGGCUUACCAAGGCGACGAUCCGUAGCUGGUCUGAGAGGACGACCAGCCACACUGGGACUGAGACACGGCCCAGACUCCUACGGGAGGCAGCAGUGGGGAAUUUUGGACAAUGGGGGCAACCCUGAUCCAGCCAUGCCGCGUGCGGGAAGAAGGCCUUCGGGUUGUAAACCGCUUUUGUUCGGGAAGAAAUCCUCUGGGCUAAUACCCCGGGGGGAUGACGGUACCGGAAGAAUAAGCACCGGCUAACUACGUG